rnacentral:rRNA from 1 species
GACGAACGCUGGCGGCGUGCCUAAUACAUGCAAGUUGAGCGCUGAAGGUGGGUACUUGUACCAACUGGAUGAGCAGCGAACGGGUGAGUAACGCGUGGGGAAUCUGCCUUUGAGCGGGGGACAACAUUUGGAAACGAAUGCUAAUACCGCAUAAAAACUUUAAACACAAGUUUUAAGUUUGAAAGAUGCAAUUGCAUCACUCAAAGAUGAUCCCGCGUUGUAUUAGCUAGUUGGUGAGGUAAAGGCUCACCAAGGCGAUGAUACAUAGCCGACCUGAGAGGGUGAUCGGCCACAUUGGGACUGAGACACGGCCCAAACUCCUACGGGAGGCAGCAGUAGGGAAUCUUCGGCAAUGGACGAAAGUCUGACCGAGCAACGCCGCGUGAGUGAAGAAGGUUUUCGGAUCGUAAAACUCUGUUGGUAGAGAAGAACGUUGGUGAGAGUGGAAAGCUCAUCAAGUGACGGUAACUACCCAGAAAGGGACGGCUAACUACGUG